rnacentral:rRNA from 1 species
AGAGUUUGAUCCUGGCUCAGAACGAACGCUGGCGGCGCGCCUAAUACAUGCAAGUCGAGCGAGAAGGUGUAGCAAUACACUUGUAAAGCGGCGAACGGGUGAGGAAUACAUGGGUAAUCUACCAUCGAGUGGGGAAUAACCAACCGAAAGGUUGGCUAAUACCGCGUACGCCUCCGGAUCUUCGGGUUCGGAGGGAAAGCUGCACUGUGAGUGUAGCGCUCUUUGAUGAGCUCAUGUCCUAUCAGCUUGUUGGUAGGGUAACGGCCUACCAAGGCUUUGACGGGUAGCUGGUCUGAGAGGACGAUCAGCCACACUGGCACUGCGACACGGGCCAGACUCCUACGGGAGGCAGCAGUAAGGAAUAUUGCGCAAUGGGCGAAAGCCUGACGCAGCGACGCCGCGUGGGGGAUGAAGGUCUUCGGAUUGUAAACCCCUUUCGGGAGGGAAGAUGGAACGAGCAAUCGUUCGGACGGUACCUCCAGAAGCAGCCACGGCCAACUUCGUGCCAGCAGCCGCGGUAAUACGAAGGGUGCAAGCGUUAAUCGGAAUUACUGGGCGUAAAGCGUGCGUAGGUGGUUUGUUAAGUCAGAUGUGAAAGCCCUGGGCUCAACCUGGGAACUGCAUUUGAUACUGGCAGGCUAGAGUGCGGUAGAGG